rnacentral:tRNA from 1 species
GCCUCGGUAGUCUAAAGGCUUAGGACACUCGCACGGAAUACAAGAGAUCCGGGUUCGAUUUCCGGUUGAGGUA